rnacentral:rRNA from 1 species
GCGGUAUGCUUAACACAUGCAAGUCGAACGGUCUUUUAGGAGACAGUGGCGGACGGGUGAGUAACGCGUAAGAAUCUACCUUCAGGUUGGGGACAACCACUGGAAACGGUGGCUAAUACCGAAUGUGCCGAGAGGUGAAAGGCUUGCUGCCUGAAGAAGAGCUUGCGUCUGAUUAGCUAGUUGGUAGUGUAAGAGACUACCAAGGCGACGAUCAGUAGCUGGUCUGAGAGGAUGAUCAGCCACACUGGGACUGAGACACGGCCCAGACUCCUACGGGAGGCAGCAGUGGGGAAUUUUCCGCGAUGGGCGAAAGCCUGACGGAGCAAUACCGCGUGAGGGAGGAAGGCUCUUGGGUUGUAAACCUCUUUUCUCAGGGAAGAACAGAAUGACGGUACCUGAGGAAUAAGCAUCGGCUAACUCCGUGCCAGCAGCCGCGGUAAUACGGAGGAUGCAAGCGUUAUCCGGAAUGAUUGGGCGUAAAGGGUCCGCAGGUGGCAUUGUAAGUCUGCUGUUAAAGAGUUUGGCUCAACCAAAUAAGAGCAGUGGAAACUACAAAGCUAGAGUGUGGUCGGGGCAGAGGGAAUUCCUGGUGUAGCGGUGAAAUGCGUAGAUAUCAGGAAGAACACCAGUGGCGAAGGCGCUCUGCUAGGCCGAGACUGACACUGAGGGACGAAAGCUAGGGGAGCGAAUGGGAUUAGAUACCCCAGUAGUCCUAGCCGUAAACGAUGGAUACUAGGCGUAGCUCGUAUCGACCCGAGCUGUGCCGGAGCUAACGCGUUAA